rnacentral:lncRNA from 1 species
GAGGAUCAAGCAUUGGUAUGCAUUGAUGACGAGCAAGACGUCAAACAGAAAGGCGGUGGGAAGGAGGGAGCUGGGAAUGUAGUUGAAAGCAUCCCACCUAAAAUGGUUGCAAUGCAUAGAGUUAGAUGGAAUAUGAACAAAGGUAGUGAGAGAUGGCUCUGCUCUGGUGGAGCAGCCGGAAUCAUACGGUGUCAAGAAAUCAAAAUGUAGUUGAAAGCAUCCCACCUAAAAUGGUUGCAAUGCAUGGAGUUAGAUGGAAUAUGAACAAAGGUAGUGAGAGGUGGCUCUUUUCUGGUGGAGCAGCUGGAAUCGUACGGUGUCAAGAAAUCAAAAUUUAGUUGAAAGCAUCCCACCUAAAAUGGUAGCAAUGCAUAGAGUUAGAUGGAAUAUGAACAAAGGUAGUGAGAAAUGGCUCUGCUCUGGUGGAGCAGCCGGAAUUGUACGGUGUCAAG